ensembl:lncRNA
GCUGUCUGGGUGACCCCUCGACUGGGUUAGGUUGUUUUCAGGAAGCGGACUUCAGAAUAGCAGGCCGUGGGACUCUGAGGUUGCCUCUGCUGCCUCGGACUCGGACUUGGAGCUCUGGGUUGGGGGGGAUGGGUCCUAGGACCUUCCUUCUGCCUACCCUUUAGGUCCGAGUGGUCUCGGGUUCUGGCUUUUGGGGGGGGGCGUACCCUUUGAUCCAGGUCCAGGUCCAGGAGGAGGAGUCCCGGGGUCUAUGUUGUUGAUCAUUUUGAAUUUCGGUGUCCUAGGAGCAUUCGGUUUGAGAUCGGUAAGGAAGGGUUUCAGGAGAUCUGAACUUUAGCUUUCUCUUAGCUGCCAUCUUGACCAGAAGUCUCCUUGAGGAUAUAUACUAUAUUUAAUAGAAACUUAUAUAAUUAUAUAUAGACAUAUAUUUAUGUAUUUUGGUUGUUUUUAUUUUUCAGCCAUUUCAUUUGUCUGACAAUUCAUGACCCCAUUUAGAGUUGAGGGGUUUUUUUCUGGCCAAAGAAUGAAUUGUUUUUUCCAUUUGCUUCUCCAGUCCAUUUCACAGAUGAAGAAACUGAACAAAACAGUAAAGACCAGAAUUUCCCUGUGCAAGGAACUUGAUCCCUUUUAAUCUUCUUUGGAAAAAGAGGAUGCAAAGAAGAGUCCAAAAAUUAGAUUUGUUUUCUUGUCAAAUAGAUAAAGGCAAAAAUGAACUAGGGCUUUGUACUCGUAUAUUCUUUGAUCAGCAGAUGAGGAUGAAAAGGAACCAGGUGUUUUUAUUACUGAAAUUAUUGAAGGAGGUGCAAUCCACAAACUUGGAUGGAUUGAAAUUGGACGAGAACCACCUCAAGUCAAGUCAGAACUCAUCAUACUCCUCCAGUUGUCAGAGGAAAGGAAGAAAUAUUUUAUGGAUUCAUUCAUAGUUAAGGUGAGAAAAAUGAGACGCAGAGAAGACAUACAGAAAAAGCUAUGACUUCAGGUCUUCUGGCUCUAAAUUCAAGGCUCUAGAUUCUUCACUAUGCAGUAUGUUUAGGAUUUGAUCAGCAAUGGGAACCAAUUAAAGGUUGCUGUUGUCUCUUGCUAAUCCUAGUAAAACACUUGUAUAGCUCUAAUUGAAUCAUUCAUAUUCUUAGAUACAAGAAUCAAAAAGGAAGAAAAAGCAGAAGAAAUAGUAUUAGAAGAAGAGAUUAGCAGUGCCAAACUUAACAAGGAAAAGGCUCAAAGGAGAUUUUUCUGGUAAGAUAAGUGUUUUUUACUUAUGGAAAACAAAAUUCUCAAGGGACAAAAUAAUUGAUUUCUGCUGAAUUUUACCUCCUUGGCUACCAUUUUACUGUUUUUUUCCCCAUUAUAUAAAAGAACUUCAUUAUUUAUAUUAAAAUUCUCAGUUCAUAUCUUCCUCAAAUGGGUGCUGGCAUAGAGUAGAGGCAGCCAACUCACAGUCAAUGGAUGUGGCCUAAAGAGAUGAGAUCCAUUUCUUUUUGAGUUUGAUAACACCAGCAUAGUAGAAAAAGUAAAGGACAUAGAAUCUUAGUAUCUGGGUUCAAAUUGUCAUAUCAUUUUAACUUAUGUCAUUGAAGUCAAGUAAUUUCAGAUCAAUAGACUUCAUAUUUCUCAUUUAUAAAUUGAGGGGGUGGUACAAGUUGAUAUAUAGUGUUACUUCCAACAUUAAAUCAGUGAUCCUUUACUCCAUACAAGACAAAUCAUAUAUCACUUGUGGUAAACGUAGAGGAGGAAGGAAGAGGUAGAUAUACUAUGCCAGAUGCAUACAUCUUAAUUGGCUUCCCUAUCUUGUUUAUUGCACAUAAGCCAAUUUGGGUUUUACUCCUUCUCUUAAACACUUGCUGACAUCAACAUGUAUCCUACAAAAAUCCACAACUUCAGCCUUCUUUAACAUGUGGAUUUGUAUUUCUUUCAGGAUUGAAAUUCAUAAAUUUUUUUGUUUGCUUCUCCUUAGGCAACUUUUUUGCAUCAUAAUAUAAUGUAUUUUAUGCUUUCAUAAUUAUUUCCCUCUUGGAUCAUUCUAGCAAUGGCAAAGAACACAAUUGGUGGAACUCCUUUUAUUUUAAAAAAUAUAAGCAAAUAAAGAAUGUGUAUAAGCUCGAAAAAACUGAUCA